AGAGAUGUAGCUUAGUGGCAGAGCAUCUGUUAUACUCACAGAAAGGUCCAGGGUUCAAUCCCUGGCAUCUCCU